GGGAGCCGUCCAUUCAAAUCAACUGAUGCAAGGCAGCCUUGAAAACCCUCCUUUGCAUGCACCAGCUUUGGUAAGGACUUAUACAUUUCUUUGGCCACUCCUCCAAUAUACAAAUCACUUUUGAGAUCUAAAUUUCUGGCUCCUGCUGUGCUCUGCGUCGUGAUUUUUGUGUCAAUCUUUACCGUGUGGAGAUUGUUGGUAUCCCUUGAUAUCAUCACAUUAUGCC
rnacentral:lncRNA from 1 species